UACGUAGGGUCCGAGCGUUACUCGGAAUUACUGGGCGUAAAGCGUGCGCAGGCGGUUUUGUAAGGCAGAUGUGAAAGCCCCGGGCUCAACCUGGGAACUGCAUUUGGGACUGCAAGGCUGGAGUACGGCAGAGGGAGGUGGAAUUCCACGUGUAGCAGUGAAAUGCGUAGAGAUGUGGAGGAACACCGAUGGCGAAGGCAGCCUCCUGGGCUAGUACUGACGCUCAUGCACGAAAGCGUGGGGAGCAAACAGG
rnacentral:rRNA from 1 species